AGAAAACCCCGAGUCACUCGAGGCAUAAAACCAUUAUCCGUAACAAAAAAAAAGUUUCCACUGCCUGUCCCAGAAGAACAUUUUUUGCGCGUGUGUCAAGAAGCAGAGCUCUGUCUGAAAAUGUUUUAUUGGUGUUGGCCAAAGAGGCUUGACCUUUUUUUUCCCCUUAUUUCAGCAAACAGUUUAAAUUUUCAGCACAAAUACGUUUCCCCCGUGGCUUCAGUAUUCAGCUUGUUUUCCCUAUGUUUAGGAAAAAGUAUUCGGUGUGCCAGGGGGCUUUGCCAGGCAAGGUUGUGGCUGUGGAGGCUUCACUGGCUCCUUUCAAGCUGGGCCUCACUGUGAGUCACCCAUAAUAUAAACUGCAGCCACUUCAAAUGCAUCCUCAGUUUUUAAAUACAUACUUUUGCCUGCUGGAGUGUUGCUAAUUACAAUAAUUUAUGAGACGAGGGCUGUGUUUGGAAGGCAUUUGGCAGCAAUGAUGGGAUUAGUGCAAAAUGUCUUCCAUCUAGCUGGAGUCAUGCUGUAGUUUUAAACCAACAGUUUUAGAGGUGUUUCCCCAUUUAGUGAUCCCAUUUUUUUAUGUAUACACAUUUGGCAGUAUGGUCACAAGAAUUCAAAUGGGUUCUCGGAGGGAAGAAAGGAAAACAUGAGUCUUCAAGUAGGUGAGCAGAAAUGGAAAGGAGGAGGGCAGUAAACAGGAAAAGGCAGCAAAGAGUAAACCCCGGGUAAAGGCUACCAGUGCUGUGUAACACUGUCUAGUGCACCAGGGACAGAGCAGGAGUGAGUCCUUGAGUGUAGUAAGGAGCAGGCAAGAAAAGGAUGUGGAGUAAACAGUGGCAUGCCCCGUUUCUGUAAGGCUAGAGACAAGCAGGGUACAUCAUAGACUGGUGCAAACAAUGGCACUGUUUCUUGUUUUGAACACUGGUUCUGUGUUAGAUCAGGGGCUCAGAGGGGCAGAAGAGGGCAACACUACCUCGCUGUAUCACAUGGGGAUGUGUGUGCUUUCAGGGACAGGCCAUAUUUCUCCAUUUCCAGAGGCUACAAGUUCUCAUUUUUUUGCCUGGAUGCUGUGAAUAUUGAUAACCAAGGUCACCUUUGGAAGCUGAAUGUACGCUUUUCCUCCUUCCUGUUUUUUUAUUCAGAAGAUUUAGUAUUGCACACUGCAGGGAACUGGGGAAGAGCUGCUCAUUCUCUGGUGGCUGAGGACAAGACAGCUUGCAGCAGUGGAUAUACUGGUGUGUUGGGAUUUUCGCUAUUGCUUGGCGACAGCUGAAAUAAAAAUAAUGAGUCAGAGUCUGAAGACGAACAGAUGCAUGCCUGAUACCAACAGCAGUGAUGAAGGGCUGAAAGGGGUCGAGGGAACCAGCUGAGGGCCUUGAAGUUUACAUUAACAAAAAACUCAGAACCCUAAAGCUCCCUAGAUCUCUUGUUUGAACAAGACCUAAUGGAGUUUCACUAACCAACACAACUUUGCAGCCAAUGCCAAGCCUUGCAUUUAACAGCACUAGUCCUUGCUGGAGGAAAUCUCAGCAGUUUACUCACAGCCGGCAGACAGGGUGUUGUGUGCAUGCUGUCUCACCUGGCCUAAUACCACCACCUCUUCGGUACUCAACAAAGCUGUGUUCUGACAUGAGGGAACACCCUCGCAAAGCAGGGCCAAGAAACAUCUUUUAAAAAAAAAAAUGGAAAAGGUGUGAUUAAUUAGAAAUGUUACUUGCAACCAUUGGCACUUGAGAUGGGUCAUCUAAAUCCAGUGAGAAACACCAGGCAGUCUGCAGCAUGCCUGGUUGCACAAUUUAUGUACCCUCUAAUGUGUCUGCAAGUGUGAAAACAACUUGGGCUUCAGUUAUGCAGCAGUUUUAGCAGCUAGGAGGUGUUGUCUGUUUGCUCCAGGUCCCUGGGUACUACUGUGAAAAAAGCAUCAGGCUGCCAGAGUCAGACAAGCUGCCAGAGGUUGGCUGAAGAGGUUACACCACACACUUCUGUGUCCUCCUGCUUGGGUUAUGCCUUGUGCAAGGAAAUGUGAUGCUCUCCAGGCUCAAACUGAGUGGUCAGAUAACAAUACACAGCCUCUGUCUAGUUCAGGUGCACAGCGUUGUACAUAUGGGACUUGAGAUUCGUAGUCUGUGUCUUUACCACUUAAUCAAGAGCUGGUCAAGUAGUUAAUUGUUUUCCUUUCCCCUUCAGCACCCAGUGGUGACAGAUGUUUCCUCCCUGGGGGCUGUAUUUCCACUCUUGCGGACUCUCUGGUGCAGCCACAGUUUGCAGCCCUACCACAGCCCUUACAGUGAAAAAGUUUGUUGAAGUUUGUUUUUCGGAACAAUCUUGUUUGUUGUCAGCUGCUUUGCCUUAGGGCUGAAACUCCCUCCUCUCCCCUAACUGGAAGGGCCACACUGCCAUGCCCAGCACAGGAAAAGGGGUUAAGAGCAGGAAUGUGAGCACAGCACAUCCUUCAUCACAGAGCCCAGCAAGCAGAGCUGGCAGGCAGAUCCAGCAGUGUGGGUGCUUUCUCCUACAGAAACCUCCACCAUAAACAACUCUGGCAUGGGAUAGCUGGCUGGUUUUAUAUCCUCCUGUGAGAAUAUUGCAAAUCUUAGUUAGAGCUUAGACAACCUCUGAUUACAGAAUGCAAUAAGCAAUUUAUACAUGUUAGUCGCAGCUGUCUUAGUAGGAAACCAUUAGGCCAUUGCUAUUUAAAAAAACAAACAGUCCAGAAGAGCCUUACGAAACACAGCUCGCCAAAGCAAAAACUACCUUCAAAACUUCUCGUUAGAAACACUCUAGGAGGUUUUAAUAAGAAAAAAAAAAAAACAGUUUAGGAGGGAGGAGGAAAAGAAUUCCACUGGAAAAAAUCCCAGCUUGGUCUAGUUUAGAAAAAUUCACGCCUGUGUUUUUAUUAUCUGAAAAUUCUUGUUUCAUUAAAAAAAAAAAAAAAGAUUCCCUAGUCAUAUUCCUAGGCAUCAGAAUUCCACAGUAAGGUCUCCAGUGACUUUCGAAGUCCCUCAGACCUCUGGAGAAAAAUGUUAAAGAGAAGCGUAAGCCAGGGUCGUCCAUGCAGUAUGAGCACAAACAGGCUGGAAGCAUUCCACCCACCCGUUCCCCUCACAGUGGGUUAUCUAUGUGGCCUCACAUGCUCCUACAUGGCAGGACUGCUGUUUUCCAAGAAUAACCCAUAUCUUCACUCAACAGCACCUCAAAGGGGCCUGGUUUGCCCAGUUCUCUCCCAGCAUCACGUUCAACUCAUCUGUUUCAAGCACACCAGUGCAAAUACUCAGACUUGAAGUGCAAAGAGGAACUGCAUUUAGCCAGGAAGGUUUAAGAUCCCAGCUAUACUUCCAGGCUGAGGUCCCAAGGCACACACCCUGGAUGCUAAAUACUGCCAUGCUUUGCCAGUUAGCCUGCACUAUUGUUUCUCCCCCUCUUGAACACCAGCCCGGUUCUGACAGUGACUCACAUCGGCUUAAUCCUAGCUCCAGAGGCAGGAAUAAUUUUAUCCCCAUCUGGAGCAACAAUGCAGUGCCACAAUCCAAAUGUUUUAAGGCAUGAAGCAAAAAGCAUCACAUUCAUGGGAAACCACCUAGAGGGUCAGCUGAGGACGGCAUUCCCUGCAGCCUGAAUUUUACUUGAAUCUGAGAAUGAGACAAGCCUGUUCCCUUGGAAGACAUGGCAGAAAUCUGUACAUGACAGAAAGAAACAAGAUCUGACAACACAUCAUUAAAAAUCCACUAACAAGGG